UCUGACGGCCAUAGCGGCGGGGAAACGCCCGGUCUCAUUCCGAACCCGGAAGCUAAGCCCGCCAGCGCCCUGGGUUGUACUGCCGUCCGAGAGGCGGCGGGAAGCCCGGGACGCUGUCAGGC
rnacentral:rRNA from 1 species